rnacentral:tRNA from 1 species
GAAGUGUUAGUAAAGAUAUUACACAGCCUUGUCAAGGCUAAGUCACAGGUGAAACCCCUGUACACUUCA